CCUACGGGGGACAGCAGUAGGGAAUCUUCCACAAUGGGCGAAAGCCUGAUGCAGCAACGCCGCGUGGGUGAAGAAGGUCUUCGGAUCGUAAAACCCUGUUGUUAGAGAAGAAAGUGCGUGAGAGUAACUGUUCACGUUUCGACGGUAUCUAACCAGAAAGCCACGGCUAACUACGUGCCAGCAGCCGCGGUAAUACGUAGGUGGCAAGCGUUAUCCGGAUUUAUUGGGCGUAAAGGGAACGCAGGUGGUCUUUUAAGUCUGAUGUGAAAGCCUUCGGCUUAACCGGAGUAGUGCAUUGGAAACUGGGAGACUUGAGUGCAGAAGAGGAGAGUGGAACUCGAUGUGUAGCGGUGAAAUGCGUAGAUAUAUGGAAGAACACCAGUGGCGAAGGCAGCUCUCUGGUCUGUAACUGACGCUGAGGUUCGAAAGCGUGGGUAGCAAACAGGAUUAGAUACCCCAGUAGUC
rnacentral:rRNA from 1 species